rnacentral:tRNA from 1 species
GAUAGGGUGACUGAAAUUUUAGGUGAUAAAUUGUAAAUUUAUAUAUGGCUAAUGGCCCCCUAUCA